AAGAAACACUGGUUAUAUAGAAAUACUCAGGCUGGGCACAGUGGCCCAUGCCUGUAAUCCCAACACUUUGGGAGGCUGAGGCGGGCGGAUCAUAAGGUCAGAAGAUUGAGACCAUCCUGGCUAACACGGUAAAACCCCGUCUCUACUAAAAAUACAAAAAUUAGCCGGCCGUGGUGGCAGGUGUGCCUGUAGUCCCAGCUACUUGGGAGGCUGGGGCAGGAGAAUGGCAUGAACCCAGGAGGCGGAGCUUGCAGUGAGCCGAGAUCGCACCACUGCACUCCAGCCUGGGUGACAAAGCAAGACUCCGUCUCAAAAAAAAAAAAAGAAAGAAAGAAAGAAAAAGAAAAAAAAAAGAAAUAAAAUUACUCUGAGGAUUGGUUAAUUUCCAUAUAUAAUUAGUAUCAUAUUUUUAUGUGUCAAAAAGUAGGUCUUUUUGUAUUACUUAUUUGGAAAGCUCAAACUUCAAUACAAAGUUUGUAGACACCUUUGCAUAAAACUAGACACAAAAAACCCCAGCUGUUUAAAAUCAAAAUAAUAAUUUUAAAAUUUUGAAGCCAUUUAAAAAUUUUUUUAACUCAUUAGAGUGAGUGAGAAGCAGGAUUGAACACUGGAUUUGCAGCUUCUCUAGGCUUCACUUUGUCUAUAUUAUGCCUUCAACCCAUUCACUAAAUAUUAACCAGCACUAGUAUCAAGUAGGUAACACACACAUGAGUCAUAUUAUAUGAUCGCUCUGUUAUCCAAAGAGCCACUGGGGCCAACUACUACUGUAUAUAGAAUUUUUGAAAUACAUCUCUGAUAUGGUUUGGCUCUGUGUUCCCAGACAAAUCUCAUCUGGAAUUGUAUUCCUUUAAUUCCUUUGUGCUAUGGGAGGGACCUCGUGGGAGAUAAUUUGAAUCAUGGCGGCAGUUUCCACCAUACUGUUCUCAUAAUAGUGAAUAAGUCUCACAAGAUCUGAUGUUUUCUUUUUUAAUCAGGGGUUUCUGCUUUUGCAUCUUCCUCAUUUGUUUCUUGCCACUGCCCACUAAGAAGUGUCUUUUGCCUCCUGCCAUGAUUCUGAGGCCUACCCAGCCAUGUGGAACUGAGUCACCAAGGAAGAGGAAAGGACACAGAAAGGGAGUGUGGCAGGAAGGGGCUUUUUAAUCAGGAGAUCAGACCUCUUUACUGUCUUCAAUGAGAGAUGGGCUUUUUCAGAUGCAACUAGAAAUACUGGUCAGUUGUUUGCUAAGAACCAGAUAUGUGCAACCUAAGUUAUCACUUCACCCUACCAGGCAAGUCAAAGAAAAGACUUCCUAAUUCAACACUGACAGAUUUCAUCAGAUGUCCUAAUAAAGCACUGAUAAUUAAGAUAAUAGACGAACGCUAUUAAGGCAACUACAAUUUACAAGGAACACCCCAACCCACAGUUGCAAGACGGGGAAAAGGAAGGGAAUAAGAAAGAUUUCUAUUCUUCUAACACCAAGUAUACGCCCACUAAGAUCUGUAGGAUCCAGUAACUUUUAGGAGAAAGGUACUGGAAAAGCAGGUAUUGUUGAUGGAUUUCCCAACUGUCACAUUCCUGACUCCCAGAGGCAGGUCUCUUCACACAUUCUUUCA